CCGACCUUAGCUCAGUUGGUAGAGCGGAAGACUGUAGAUCUUUAGGUCGCUGGUUCGAUUCUGGCAGGUCGGA
rnacentral:tRNA from 1 species